rnacentral:rRNA from 1 species
GUGAGGAAUAUUGGUCAAUGGACGGAAGUCUGAACCAGCCAUGCCGCGUGCAGGAAUAAGGUCCUAUGGAUUGUAAACUGCUUUUAUUCGGGAAUAAACCUCUUUACGUGUAGGGAGCUGAAGGUACCGAAGGAAUAAGCACCGGCUAACUCCGUGCCAGCAGCCGCGGUAAUACGGAGGGUGCAAGCGUUAUCCGGAAUCAUUGGGUUUAAAGGGUCCGCAGUCGGGAUAUUAAGUCAGAUGUGAAAUCCCACAGCUUAACUGUGGAACUGCCUUUGAAACUGAUGGUCUUGAAUUAAGUGGGCGUUGGCGGAAUAUGACAUGUAGCGGUGAAAUGCAUAGAUAUGUCAUGGAACACCGAAAGCGAAGGCAGCUAACGAUACUUAUAUUGACGCUCAUGGACGAAAGCGUGGGUAGCGAACAGGAUUAGAAACCCUGGUAGUCC